rnacentral:rRNA from 1 species
UGCAAGUUCGAGCGGUAGCACAGAGAGCUUGCUCUCGGGUGACGAGCGGCGGACGGGUGAGUAAUGUCUGGGAAACUGCCUGAUGGAGGGGGAUAACUACUGGAAACGGUAGCUAAUACCGCAUAAUGUCGCAAGACCAAAGUGGGGGACCUUCGGGCCUCAUGCCAUCAGAUGUGCCCAGAUGGGAUUAGCUAGUAGGUGGGGUAACGGCUCACCUAGGCGACGAUCCCUAGCUGGUCUGAGAGGAUGACCAGCCACACUGGAACUGAGACACGGUCCAGACUCCUACGGGAGGCAGCAGUGGGGAAUAUUGCACAAUGGGCGCAAGCCUGAUGCAGCCAUGCCGCGUGUGUGAAGAAGGCCUUCGGGUUGUAAAGCACUUUCAGCGGGGAGGAAGGCGUUGAGGUUAAUAACCUUGGCGAUUGACGUUACCCGCAGAAGAAGCACCGGCUAACUCCGUGCCAGCAGCCGCGGUAAUACGGAGGGUGCAAGCGUUAAUCGGAAUUACUGGGCGUAAAGCGCACGCAGGCGGUCUGUCAAGUCGGAUGUGAAAUCCCCGGGCUCAACCUGGGAACUGCAUUCGAAACUGGCAGGCUAGAGUCUUGUAGAGGGGGGUAGAAUUCCAGGUGUAGCGGUGAAAUGCGUAGAGAUCUGGAGGAAUACCGGUGGCGAAGGCGGCCCCCUGGACAAAGACUGACGCUCAGGUGCGAAAGCGUGGGGAGCACACAGGAUUAGAUACCCUGGUAGUCCACGCCGUAGACGAUGUCGAUCUGGAGGUUGUGCCCUUGAGGCGUGGCUUCCGGAGCUAACGCGUUAAAUCGACCGCCUGGCGAGUACGGCCGCACGGUUAAAACUCACAUGAAUUGACGGGCGCCCGCACAAGCGGUGGAGCAUGUGGUU